CCGGGUUUGAUCCUGCCGGAGGUCAUUGCUAUUGGAGUCCGAUUUAGCCAUGCUAGUCGUACGAGUUCAGACUCGUGGCGAAUAGCUCAGUAACACGUGGCCAAACUACCCUGUUGAGCACGAUAACCUCGGGAAACUGAGGCUAAUAGUGCAUACGGCUCGAUGCCUGGAAGUGGCUCGAGCUCGAAACGCUACGGCGCGACAGGAUGUGGCUGCGGCCGAUUAGGUAGACGGUGGGGUAACGGCCCACCGUGCCGAUAAUCGGUACGGGUUGUGAGAGCAAGAGCCCGGAGACGGAAUCUGAGACAAGAUUCCGGGCCCUACGGGGCGCAGCAGGCGCGAAACCUUUACACUGCACGACAGUGCGAUAAGGGGACUCCAAGUGCGAGGGCAUAUCGUCCUCGCUUUUCACUACCGUAAGGUGGUAGUAGAAUAAGUGCUGGGCAAGACCGGUGCCAGCCGCCGCGGUAAUACCGGCAGCACGAGUGAUGACCGCUAUUAUUGGGCCUAAAGCGUCCGUAGCUGGCCGAUCAAGUCCGUCGGGAAAUCUGCGCGCCUAACGCGCAGGCGUCCGGUGGAAACUGUUCGGCUUGGGACCGGAAGACUCGAGGGGUACGUCUGGGGUAGGAGUGAAAUCCCGUAAUCCUGGACGGACCACCGGUGGCGAAAGCGCCUCGAGAGGACGGAUCCGACGGUGAGGGACGAAAGCUUGGGUCACGAACCGGAUUAGAUACCCGGGUAGUCCAAGCUGUAAACGAUGUCUGCUAGUUGUGGACUGGUGGCUACGAGCCAGUGCUGUGCCGUAGGGAAGCCGUGAAGCAGACCGCCUGGG
rnacentral:rRNA from 1 species